rnacentral:ribozyme from 14 species
AGUGGAUGAGUUUUUUUGGGUUAUCAUUUUUCAAUUCAUGUUAAUAAAACGUAGAAAAAAAACAAAAACAGAUGAUGGUUGCAGUCUGAGACCUGUUCAUAUAUAGCCUGUGCGCCAAAA